rnacentral:rRNA from 1 species
AGUGAACGCUGGCGGCGUGCUUAACACAUGCAAGUCGAACGAGAACGGUAUAUAGCUUGCUAUAAUUGUCAGCUAAGUGUCGCACGGGCUAGUAAUGUAUAGGAAAUAUGCCUCUUACUAAGGGAUAACAAAUUGAAAAGCUUGCUAAUACCUUAUACUCCUUAUUAACAGAAGUUAAUAAGGGAAAGAUUUAUUAGUAAGAGAUUAGCUUGUAUUGUCUCAGUUAGUUGGUGAGGUAAUGGGUUACCAAGACUAUGACACAUAACUGGUUUGAGAGGAUGAGCAGUCACACUGGAACUGAGACACGAUCCAGACACCUACGGGAGGCAGCAGUGAGGAAUAUUGCACAAUGGACGAAAGUCUGAUGCAGCAACGCCGCGUGGAGGAUGACACAUUUCGGUGCGUAAACUCCUUUUAUAUGAGAAGAUAAUGACGGUAUUAUAUGAAUAAGCACCGGCUAACUCCGUGCCAGCCGCCGCCGUAA